UACGGAGGGUGCGAGCGUUGUCCGGAAUCACUGGGCGUAAAGGGCGCGUAGGCGGCGCGGGAAGUCAUCGGUGAAAGCUCAGGGCUCAACUCUGAGUCGGCCGGUGAUACUCUCGUGCUUGAGCACUGUAGAGGCAGGUGGAAUUCCGGGUGUAGCGGUGAAAUGCGCAGAUAUCAGGAAGAACACCCGUGGCUAAGGCGGCUCUCUAGUACGGUACUGACGCUGAGACGCGAAAGCGUGGGGAGCGAACAGG
rnacentral:rRNA from 1 species